UAACCAAAAGUACCUAAAAACUAUCAUUUCAAUUACGUACAGUAUAAUAGUAAAUAAAUAUAGGUAAUACAGAAAAAUAAAUAGGAAAUUGAGACAAUCGUGAACUAACUAGUUCCGGCUCCACUACCUGUAAUUAUUUUCAAGGUUCUCUAAUUUUUUAUAAAAAUACACAAUAAUUAAUUAUUAAUCCUCAAUUUAUCGUAAUGGAGAAAAAGGUAAGGGAUCCUUAUCUGAAUUAGUGUUUUGGGAUGCCGUGUUGCCUACUACGCU
rnacentral:lncRNA from 1 species